UCUGUCAUUUAUAACUUUAAACCGGACCUGAACCGUUCCAAAUACCAUUGUUUUCGAAUUGAUGUAUCGAUUAAAGCGAAAUGUGAGAGAGGGAAUCCAAGGAAUCCAAAUUCCCAAGUAGGGAAGAAGACCUCUGCUACAUCCCGCGUUUGUGAAGGCUCCAUGCAAUCAUUUUUCGGUUGAGAACAAUUGACCGAGAAAACGCCUCAGAACGAGUGAAAAAUCAACAUUGCAAGAGAAGGUUUCAAUCAUGGAUAGAUUGAUUGAGAAAGCUCCGACAACGAUCGUGCAUUUUGUUCGACCAAGAGAAGGAGGUCAAGCGAUGAAAGGGGUUUUUCAUCUAGCAUAAUCCAUCCUCGCCUCUUCUGUGUCGAGGCUGCUCUCUGUUUCUCCUUUAAGCGUCUUAAGUUGUCUCUCCAUCAUCAUCUUCAGUCUCACGAAAUAAGGCAUCUGACCAAGUCCUUAUCAUCAAAGGAAGUUAUAUAAUGCUUCGGGUUGCUUUAACCAAGUUCGUAGCUUUGUUUUGACAGUACCUUAGUAUUCUAUAUUUAUAGUAGUCACUAGGACAUUGCAUGAAAUUUGCCAUAAGAUGAUGCACACACAAGUCUGGAUUUGCAUGCCUCUGAUUCCUGAUUAUUUCUUCGUGUGCUUCACCAUUGGAGAUCACGGAAGCUGGUUUCUUCAGAGCUUGGCUUCUCACAAAUAGUUUGCUCCAUCUUGAUAACAGAACCCUUGCCCUGUUCGAUAUGUCUGAUCUUCAAAUCAGAUAAAUGAGUUUCAAAAGGCCAUGCUAGGAACUUAAAAUGAUGAACUGGAAAACAACAAGAAGAUGACUUUCUUCCAGAAUAAAAGUAUAUCCUCAUCACGAGAAUUUAAAAAAAAAAUGAAGUAGUUCUCAAAAAAUGUUUGAAUUUCACAACAGGUGGGCAACCAAGUGCUCGAGGCAGGGUCUGGGGAAGGACAAACGUACGCAGCUUUACCCUGUACACACAGAGGUGUUGUUUCCAAUUGAAUUUCACAACAGCUAAAUUUAUAGGAUUCAGAUGACCGUGUCCCUAUCUGGUGCUGUGAAUGGAGUGCAAGCACACAAUCUUUUACCUCUAUACAUCAUUUUGGCUAGGCCCAUUUCUGACAUUGCAGUUGCAGGGCAACAGAAUUCUGCAGUCUUUUGCCUUGUGUGAACCUGUCUUAUAGUUGCUUCAAAUGAAUUUGAGGGGAGGAGUCAAACUGAAGCAAAUAUUAUUCUCCCUGAGAUUCAUAGGCUUUCAGCUAAUGAAAAAGCUAGCAAACUCGCCCUCUUACUUGUCAGCUGUGGGGAAGCUAACAAUUCCUCACCUGGAAGUCCUAUGGCAAAGGGCCAUUCGGAUAUGACAUCAUUUUCAUGUAAUUUCUUGUGGCAUUUAUUGGGAGGCAAAACCAGAGCUGUGCCAUGACCGUUAGCGGUAGCCAUUGUCCUCACAGGGACAGUUCGAACAGAAGACGAGGAAUUGGGCAUUUAAGGGAAAAGGAGGGGAGAGCUAGGUGCUGGAAUUAAUGGUAAUAGAUGAGGGGGAUUUCAAUUUUCAAAGCUCCAUCCAACACGGAACGGGCCCCAUUUAAGUUGAGCAGCAAGGGAAGGGAGGGGCACCAUCAACAGCAUCAGGGCUGAGCUGCUGAGAGCCUCAGCCUGUGAUCCCUUCACGAUUCUGGGACGAGUUCCAUGUGCUGCUGAGAGCCUCAGAUUUUCUAAUCGAAUUCAAAUUAGAAUAAUGCCUGAUUCGGUUUGAAUUUAAUCCUUUUACAUCCCUAUCAAUGCACCAGUAGUAUUGGAAAUAAAUUAUAAACUUUUUUUUUUUUUUUAAUUUCCUCCGCUGGUUUCUUCUUAUUUGAUUGGAUUGGGAAAGUAGUG